GACAGAGGAUGCAAGCGUUAUCCGGAAUGAUUGGGCGUAAAGCGUCUGUAAGUGGCUUUUUAAGUCUGCCGUCAAAUCCCAGGGCUUAACCCUGGACAGGCGGUGGAAACUACCAAGCUGGAGUACGGUAGGGGCAGAGGGAAUUUCCGGUGGAGCGGUGAAAUGCGUAGAGAUCGGAAAGAACACCAACGGCGAAGGCACUCUGCUGGGCCGACACUGACACUGAGAGACGAAAGCUAGGGGAGCAAAUGGG
rnacentral:rRNA from 1 species